UAUGACCAUAUCAUGUUGAAACACCGGUUCUCAUCUGAUCACUAAAGUUAAGUAAGGUUGACCCUGGUAAGUACUCAGAUGUGGUGACUGUUGGGGAAUAUCAGGUGCUGUAA